rnacentral:lncRNA from 1 species
GGACAAAGGUGAUAAUGCAGGGGAAAUGCUGUGGAAUCUUUGCUUCUGUCACUUCUGAGAUCCUAUCCUGAACUUAGUUAUAAGAUCUCCAUUCCAGUGUGGGUCCUGCCCCAUACUCAGAAGGAAUGCAUGCUCAGAGAGGACAAGAAGAAUCUGAACACACAGGCCUUGCUGGGUCCCAUUCUCCACAACCUCAGUCUAUUACUAUUAGAUCGUACCAUUUUUGUCCAAUCACAUCUCUACACGCUCUUCUUGCUUCAUCAGAUCUAAAGCACCCAUGCAUAAAAUCAGACUGCUUUCCCUCUAUCUAUGGGUCACUCAAUCUGAAGGCUCCCAUGUCAUGUAAAACUUUGAUUAAAUAAAUGUUAUGCUUUUG